rnacentral:rRNA from 2 species
UCGCGGCGGCGUGCGCAGAAGGGUCUGGGCUCGAGCCUGCCUGGAGCCGCCGCCGGUGCAGAUCUUGGUGGUAGUAGCAAAUACUCCAGCGAGGCCCUGGAGGACUGAUGUGGAGAAGGGUUUCGUGUGAACAGCCGUUGCACACGAGUCAGUCGAUCCUAAGCCCUAGGAGAAAUCCGACGCCUACGGCGACGGGAAAAAUUUUUUAAAUCAACCCGUUGAUCGGGCGAAAGGGAAUCCGGUUCCUAUUCCGGAACCCGGCAGCGGAACCGCUGUUUGUCGGGCCCUCACAAGGGGUUCGUCAGGGUAACCUAAAAGGGCCCGGAGACGCCGUCGGGAGCCCCGGAAAGAGUUUUCUUUUCUGCAUGAGCGUUCGAGUUCCCUGGAAUCCUCUCGCAGGGAGAUAGGGUUUGGAACGCGAAGAGCACCGCAGUUGCGGCGGUGCCCGGGAAUUCCCGACGGACCUUGAAAAUCCGGGAGAGGGCCACGUGGAGGUGUCGCGCCGGCUCGUACCCAUAUCCGCAGCAGGUCUCCAAGGUGAAGAGCCUCUAGUCGAUAGAAUAAUGUAGGUAAGGGAAGUCGGCAAAUCGGAUCCGUAACUUCGGG